rnacentral:lncRNA from 10 species
UUACCAAGUGCCCCCAACUCUUCCAGAAUCAACAUUUCUAAGAUGUACUACUCCAGUGGAGAGACCAACAGGGACAUUGUGAAGGCAGUGGCAGCUGACCAGGACCCUUUGUAGGUUGUGAUUUUAUAUUUCAAGAUUAGUCAAACUUCUCCCAGAUGCCUAGUAUUUUGCAGAUUACUUUGAAGGGGUCUUGCAGAUAAAGCUGAGAGAAGAGAGAAAGAGAUCCCCCCCCGUAUUGUUCUAUAUUGUUUUAUGCUCAGUACCUGUUUUAAGAAACAAGGAAGCAAAACCAAAGGCAGGCAGCCGGGUGCCAGGCACCAGACCCAAAACCAGGCCUGGGCCUGCCUGACCUUAGCCUGAUAGUUAAAAUUCAACCCAUGACCUAGCAACCGAUGUUAUCCGUAGAUUCCAGACAUUGUAUGGAAGGACAUUGUGAAACUUCUCGUUCUGUUGUUUCACUCUGAUUACCGGUGCAUGCAGCCCCUGUCACAUACCCCCUAGAUUGCUCAAUCGAUCACGGCCCUGUCAUGUAAAAUCUUUAGUGUUGUGAGCCCUUAAAAGGGACAGAAAUUGUGCACUCAACAAACUCGGAUUUUAAGACACUAGACUGUCGAUGCUUCCAACUGAUUAAAAGCUACUUCCUUCACUAUCUUGGUGUCUGUGGGGUUUUGUCCACGGCUCAUCCUGCUACAAGGCUACUAAUCUUCACGCAGCACAUCCCCACAUUUAAAACUUCAGUUAGGGUGGUCCUCAUAUUGACUCUAAGUGCCUCCUAAUACAAAUCUGUUUCCCUUUUCAGUCCCUAGAAGAAACAUAAUAGAGUGGGUCCAGUCCGUAUUUCAGGCAUGCCUACCACUUCAAAGCCUCUAGAAAAUUCCAUGCUUACAUCAAAUUUUUAUUGAGCACCAAAAAGGCACAAGAUACACAAGAGCAGAUGAAAUGGGUGCUGACAUUAAGAGACCUAAAUCUUUGAGGGAAAUAAAAUCAGUAAAAAUAAUCACAGAAUAAUAUGUGAAAGGCCUUAAAUGUGGUAUCAAACACCAAGGGGCCAAAGAAGGUUUCAGUAUCAGGGACUCGUGGAAGAUUCCCAAAAGAGAACGGAGUGGCCACAUGGAGGGACAUAUUCCAAGCAGAAAGAACAGUAUCGGAUGAAAAGAAUGGGGCAUAUGGAGUGAUAAACUAGUCUAGGUACUGGACUAAUUAGGAAAAAACAUGAAAUCCAGCCUACAAAAAGACUUUGUUUCUCAUUAAAUUUCAUAAUAUAAGAAGAAUGAAAUUUAGCUGUAUUUAUUAAAAAUGUCCUUUUAAAAAGCUUAGAAAAUGUUAUCUGUCAAAUUUUAGGGAUUUUCUUCUAUUGCUAUUUUGAGAAGGUAUCUUAAUGUUAAGAUGUUCAGAUUUCUAUUAAGAACAAAUGACCUCAUCCCGCUUCACAUUCUACCUCCCAGAGACACAUUUUUACAGGCUACCAAUUAUUUUAAAGUACAUUAUUCCUGGCUGGGUGUGGUGGCUCACGUCUGUAAUCCCAGCACUUUGGGAAGCUGAGGCGGGCAGAUCACCUGAGAUGAGGAGUUUGAGACUCGCCUGGCCAACAUGGCGAAACCCAGUCUCUACAAAAAUAUAAAAAUUAGCCGGGUGUGGUGGCACACACCCAUAAUCCCAGCUACCAGGGAGGCUGAGGCACAAGAAUCACUUGAACCCAGGAGGCAGAGGUUGCGGUGAGCAGAGAUCCCACCACUGCAUUCCAGCCUGUCCAACAAAGCAAGACUCUGUCUCAAAAUAAAUAAGUACAUUAUUCCUGAUUAUAACUAUUUCCUCAAUUCUAAGAUUUUUUUUUUUUUUGCAUUUCAGUAUUUCUGAAAUCAGAUGAUCUAAAAAUUAAUUAAUGAAGUAUUAUUUCUCUUCUCCCCCUGAAAAGCUAUGAUAAAAUCAAUGAUGUAUUUUAUAAUUGAUGGUAUCUUAACAUUAAGGCAAUAUAGUGAUGAGAAUAACUGUUGGCCUUCAGAACUCAAUUUUUCAGUAGUCAUAGUCCCUCAGGUGUCUUAGUUUCAGAGGAGAUUUCAAUAGAUUUUAUCAUGGAAUGGUGAACACCAUAAAGUCAGGCAAUGUCCCUAUCCUUGCUUGAAUCAGAGAGGGGAACUCUCACAACGGUUUUACAAACUUCAUAUCUCACCCAGUCACCUCCAAAUGUGCCCCUCCUAUCAUAGCCCUCCAUGUAACAAAAGGGAGAAGAGCUUUCUGAUGCUUAUGAAGUCCAGGGGUAUAACUCAUCUUUUGACAUCAACUGAUGUACACCACUGCCACACUGAUCUGGGCCACACUUGAGCAUUCUACACCAGGCAUCAGUCCUAACUUACCUGGAAUUUAAAUACCAGAUAGAGUG